rnacentral:tRNA from 1 species
GGGCGUGUGGCGAAUGGUAGACGCACUCGACUCAAAAUCGAGCGGAGAAAUCCAUGUCAGUUCGACUCUGACCACGCCCA